UUGAACGCUGGCGGCAGGCCUAACACAUGCAAGUCGAGCGGAUGAAGGGAGCUUGCUCCUGGAUUCAGCGGCGGACGGGUGAGUAAUGCCUAGGAAUCUGCCUGGUAGUGGGGGAUAACGUCCGGAAACGGGCGCUAAUACCCCAUACGUCCUGAGGGAGAAAGUGGGGGAUCUUCGGACCUCACGCUAUCAGAUGAGCCUAGGUCGGAUUAGCUAGUUGGUGGGGUAAAGGCCUACCAAGGCGACGAUCCGUAACUGGUCUGAGAGGAUGAUCAGUCACACUGGAACUGAGACACGGUCCAGACUCCUACGGGAGGCAGCAGUGGGGAAUAUUGGACAAUGGGCGAAAGCCUGAUCCAGCCAUGCCGCGUGUGUGAAGAAGGUCUUCGGAUUGUAAAGCACUUUAAGUUGGGAGGAAGGGCAGUAAGUUAAUACCUUGCUGUUUUGACGUUACCAACAGAAUAAGCACCGGCUAACUUCGUG
rnacentral:rRNA from 1 species